UACGUAGGUGGCAAGCGUUGUCCGGAUUUACUGGGCGUAAAGGGCGUGCAGGCGGUCUGUUAAGUUCAGGGUGAAAGCUCCCGGCUCAACUGGGAAAGGUCCUUGGAUACUGGCAGACUUGAGGGAGGUAGAGGAGAGUGGAAUUCCCGGUGUAGUGGUGAUAUGCGUAGAUAUCGGGAGGAACACCAGUGGCGAAGGCGGCUCUCUGGGCCUUUCCUGACGCUGAGACGCGAAAGCGUGGGGAGCGAACCGG
rnacentral:rRNA from 1 species